rnacentral:rRNA from 1 species
GUUGAACGCUGGCGGCAUGCCUAACACAUGCAAGUCGAGCGAAUAGAGGAAGCUUGCUCCUCUCUGCCGCGGCCGACGGGUGGGUGAGUACUACGAAGCUGCCUUAUAGUUGGGACUAACGUCCGUAAAGGGGCGCUAAUACCGCAUACGUUCUGAGAGCGAACGGCGUGGAUCUUUGGUCCUCACGCUUUCAGAUGAGCCUAGUACGGAUUAGCUAGUUGGUGAGGUAACGGCCUACCAAGGCGACGAUCCGUAACUGGUCUGAGAGGCUGAUCAGCCACACUGGAACUGAGACACGGUCCAGACUCCUACGGGAGGCAGCAGUGGGGAAUCUUGGACAAUGGGCGAAAGCCUGAUCCAGCCAUGCCGCGUGUGUGAUGAAGGUCUUCGGAUUGUAAAACUCUUUAAGUAGGGAGGAAGGGCAGUAAGAGUAUACAUGGAUGUUUUGACGGUACCAACAGAAUAAGCACCGGCUAACUACGUG